CAAAUCAAAUGCUAGAACCAUAUAUUUAUAGAUCAAAAGAUUACAUGUUAAGCUAAGAUCAAGUACCUCUAAUCCCAACAAAGGAGAUUUAGCUACUCAUUGUCAUGGAAGCCUUGCAAGAAUGAAUUGAAGGAGAAAGAUUCAUUUACAACUUGUGAUUUCUCAACAAAGAAUGAAGAAUCCACUCUCUAUCACUCUCACUCUAUGAAGAACAAGCUCUAUCUCUCUCUCUAAGAAUAUUACAAGUGAAAAGUAUGAAAAACUCAGAGAAAAACUAAGUAUGUCAAUGAAAUGGUUGAGUGGGCUAUUUAUAGAAUUCUGAUUCUGCAUCUACUCGCCUCGCGAGCUCCUUCAUUCGCCAGGGCGAGUUGAGGUUCCUUCGCCAUUGGGUUUGUGCCACGUCAGCUGUGAGAGGCUAAACCGCCCUAACUCGCCUCGCGAGUAAAAUCAUUCACCAUGGCGAGUGGGCUCGCCUUCCACUCGCCAUUGCGAGUUGGUGGCGUGUAAUCUCUGUUGGCUAUUGGAAUUGCUCGCCUUCUACUGGCCAUGGCGAGUUGGGGGCGAGUAACCUUCAUUUUUCAGCCUUUUUGUACUUUUCUUCAUUUUUGCUCUUUGCUUGAUGUCUUGAGUUCAAAUCCUGCACAAAUGGGUGAAGUAAGAUAAAUAAAGCGUAAAAGGGCAAUAAUCACUUAUCUCUCGGCUUUUCCCUUAAUAACUUGCAUAAUAAGUAACAAAAGUGCCUAAAAUAUAUCACUUAAAAUACAACUUUCUAGCACUUAUCAGAGUCAUCUGAUUCAAGCUAUUGGAUAAUUGAAAAUAUUUGUUGAACACUACAAAAUUUUAAUAAAUCGCUUCAAUGAAGUACCAAAAGUUAAUGGAUACAUAAAAACAUACUCAUUACAUUAAAUUAAAUAAAAGAGUGAAGAUCAUCAUUGAACAUAUCAUAACAUUGACACCCACAAACUAGGAUAAACAUAUUAAAUAUAACAUAACUAAAUAUAACUCCAUAUCAGCUACUCACUUUCACUCGAUACAUACAACAACAUCGAUUCAGUUUCUUCUCUUGAUCUCCAACGAAAUAUUUCUUCAACAUCAAGAUCUUUACAAAGAGCCCUAGGAUCUUAAUUUGUUUUCUUGUUAUCGUCAUCAUCAACAAUAGACAUGUAAGGAACAACAUAAGCAAUAUCCAUGACCCUCAUUCAAACAUAUUCACUCUUUAAGAGUUCACCAAGAAUACACAACAUUCACAACAUAUUCACCAAUCACCAACUACAUAGAUUCACAUAUGUUCGCAUAGUCAAGUACAUGUUGUUCACACUUCAUCAUCAUCACCAAAAUAACAAUCAACAUAAGAAUACACAUAGUCAUGUAUAUACCUUCACAUAAAUUUAUAUAAUAAAAAACAUGAUACUCAAAUAUACACAUAGGCAUGCAAUGUUCUAGACACGAUUCUAUAUGCAAGCGGUACCAUUUUUAGACGUCGAAGUUAUUUACCAAUUGAUCCCACCACUUUGGAUACUAAAUAUCCUAUUCACCACUUUAGAUGCUAAAACAUCCUAUUUACCACUUUGUAUACUAAAUAUCCAUACAUGAUUCAUACAUCAAAUAUAUACUCGAUAACGCAGAACAUCACUUAUUUUAUCAUUACAUGAUUCACUCCCUCAUAUAAUAUAAACACAACAAAGCAUCAUCAAAUCAAUACAUCCAUACAUCAAUAAUUCAUCAUCAAAACAAUCAUCUCCAUAUAAUUAACAUCACCACUUUAUAUACAUGUAUUCAAUCACUAUUUAUACAUAUAUACAUACACAUCAUUACUUAUCAUCAUCAAUAAUCAUCAUAAAAAAUCAUUAUCACCAUGAUCAUCUUGAAACAUUUACUACAUCAAAGAAGCAACAUCUCUUCAUUUAGCAAAAAUAACAUUUUAGACGAUUAAUCAUUUACACAUAGUAAAUCAAUGUAUCAUGCAUAUAUCAACCACCAAUUCAACUAUUAUUCAUCAACUUAUCAUUAUCACAUAGACAUUCAUAAGUUAUUAUAUCAUGAUUAAUCAUUUAGUCUAUUUUUCCAAAGUCCGUUUAUUUUUCCAAAGUUCGUCUAUUUUCACAUAUUUCACAAACUAAUUUACAUGUUCACAUACAUCCAUAUCAAUUCUAUAUGCUUUCUCUAUGUUCAUUAUCACAAUAGUUCAAACAUAACAACAUCAUUUCAUCAAAAUCAAGUGCUCAACAUCAUGCGUAAAUCAAGUACCCACUUCUUUGAGUUAUACAUUAUCUUCACGUCAUUGCAUAUCACAAAUUCACGAUUACAUACCAGUUUAUUCAUUCUAAAGACUUCCUUAAACUCAAUAUUAAUUUUGAGGAUGUUUCAUGGUUCAUUGAAAAAGUUAUGAUAAAGUUUCAUGAAAAAUGUCACAUGACCGAUGUGUAGUAAUUUGACCAUAACUCAAGUUCUAAAAAUGAUAAUUAAGUAAAACCAAGUCCACAGUAAAUCUAACAUCCAUAUCUACAACUUUCAUGUUUACCAUGAGACCUAUUUCAAAACGGAAAAUGGUGAACUAUCCGAUUUUUCCAGGUGGUUUGAUAGAAAUCGGAAGCCAAUUUUUGUCGAGCCAAAAGUAGGAAAAACAGUCGAUUUUGGCAAUUUGGGGCCCGAUUUCGAGCUAACCGACAACAUCAAAAUCAGUUUCAAAAAUGUGUUUUUCACCAUAUAAUCACUUUAAAAUUACCUAACUCAAUUACAACACACCCAAAUCAAUUUAAAACAUUGUCCAUCAUCAUAACACUUGUAAUAAACACUUUCACCGCUUCAAAUCAUCAAUUACACUUUCAAAAUCAUAAUUCAUACUCACUUCUCCAAAAAAUCCAAGAAUAACACAUAAUCACAACUUAACAAUGAACUUAUCAUUGUAAUCUCAAACAAACAGAACUUAAUCUCAUACCCAAUAUCAUAGUAAGUAGGUAGAACAUACAUUUAGCAUUAUUCAUCAACCACAUCAUGAAUUUCUCAUAAUUAAGCUAAAAUCACAGAAACACUUAUUCUAUAUAACCAAACAUGAGUUUUAGCACAACAACAUUUCAUAACUUUUAUCAUAUUCAAAAUUAGCUUAAUGAAUGGAGCACAAAAAUUAACAUGAAUCAACAUCAAUUUCAUGAAAUCAUAAAAAUGAACAUGACCCAAAACCACACAAUUGCUCAUAAUCUCUAGAUGGUGAAGAUAAACUUCCCUCUUACCUGAAACUCCCAAAAGCUAGCCUCUAAGCUUCAAUCGUCCCAUCUACUUUGAUCUUCAAGUUCUUGGGUCUCUUUCUCCAUUCUUCUCUCUCAAUUUUCUCUAUAUUCUCACUUUACCUCUUUCUAGUGAACUUACCAAAUAAAUCCCAAAACUAGGGUUAUGACUAUCCUCUAGCCUUAUAUACACAUCCUAUUGGGCUUAACUCACUUAGCAUCUAUUGAGCUCAAUUAUUCUUACUAACAAAUAACUCUCCUCUUUCUAAUUCAAUCAAUCAUCUUUUUUUUUUUUUUUUUUAACCUUAUACCUCUAUUCUAGUAAUUCUACCAAGUUACUACUAACCUCAAUAAUAAUCUUACACGCCCAAAUUACUAAAAUAC
rnacentral:lncRNA from 1 species